AUAUAUAUAUAUAUAUAUAUAUACACUAUUUCCAACACUAUAUGCAUUAAAGUAUGAUUUUGUCUUACCAUUUCAGCCCACCAUUUAGCAGAUGAAAAAUCCAUCUCGGCUUUAGAUCUUUCCAAUCUAUAGUUCUAUACAUAGAUUCCAAUCACAAACAGUAUUUAGUAACAUAGAGAUUUGGGGGAACAUAUACAAAGGGGAUCAAUCAUUAAUUGAAAAGCGGCGGAAGCGUACCUUAUUUAGAGCAAAAGGCUUUUUCAGUUUCAGCUGGUAUCUGUCAGAUCAAGUACAGAAAAUUCUUGUGUCUUUAUCUGUCUUUAUACUUUAUUGAAUCAAAGAGUUGACUGCAAAAAUAGGCAGAAAGAAAACAAAAGAGAAAAAAAAAAGGUGGAAUAUCCCUCAAUUAUUAUGUUCUCUCUAUAUCUCUAUGUUGUUAAAGAAAUGGGCAGAAGAAAAAGGUGGAAUACCCCUCAAUUAUUAUAUUCUCUUUAUCUUAUUUUAUUACAAAAAUGGUUCUAGUUCAAACCAAAAAGUUAAUUCAAAAAAAUGAGAGUUAUUCAAAACAUAUUGAGAGAUCAUCCAUCCUCUUCGCUAUCGAUGUCAGACUCUUCAACAGCACACCGCACGCCGAGGGGUGAACAUAUGAAGCGAACAAUAUAAUAUGGAUUAAUAUAGGAUUGGGAUGAGUUCUAAUCAGAUCAUAUUAAAGAAAUACUUGAUAUUACACCUAAUUUAACUCCAAAAACUAACUUAACUUAAAUGAGUAUUAUUCAAAGCAUAUUAAAGAGGUGGAACAUCCCAUGUGGGACUCUUCAAUGUAUGUUUAUUACUUCUUUGGGAAUAUUUCCACUACUUAAAAUAAUAAACGUGUGAAAAAUUUAAGGAUGGAACCCUUUGUUUUUCGGUUUCUAUCUCUAUUCUUAUUCCUCUGAGUCUCCGAGUUGUAUUACUUAUAUUUUUUACCAUCCCCCUCGUCCCUCAGGUACACAGCUCCAUAAGGACUAAGGCUUCAAUUUUGAAACCCGUCUGAAUCUGAGUCUUUUUCGUGUAGCACUUUGAAUAAUUUUGUUAUCGAUUUAACUUAAUA
rnacentral:lncRNA from 1 species